GGCAGCAUGCUGCUGCUGCCCGUCCUGCUUGCAGCUUCUUCUUGGUCCCGUGGAGACGCGCAGGCAGUGCCGGUGCAAAGCCCGGCGAUGCGGACUCAGGCAGAGGGACGCUCGACCAGCAUGGCAUGCCAGCUGAGGAAAGAAGACACCGUGCACUGGUACAAGCAGCUUCCCGGAGAGCCGCCCAAGAGGAUACUGUACGUGUCGGGAAAGACUCCUACGUUUGAUGAUGGCUCUGACAGACAAAAGUAUCAAGUGAGGAAGCAUGCCUCUGAACCUCGCUAUAGUCUCCAAAUAAAUUAUGUAACCCAGAGGGACGCUGGCACUUACUUCUGUGCGUACUGGUAUUUAUAUCAAGGCAUCACAGCGUUAGAUGGGCCAAGAUAA